rnacentral:rRNA from 1 species
UACGGAGGAUCCAAGCGUUAUCCGGAUUUAUUGGGUUUAAAGGGAGCGUAGGUUGACAUAUAAGUCAGCUGUGAAAGUUUACGGCUCAACCGUGAAAUUGCAGUUGAUACUGUACGUCUUGAGUGCAGAAGAGGAGAGUGGAAUUCCAUGUGUAGCGGUGAAAUGCUUAGAUAUCACGAAGAACUCCAAUUGCGAAGGCAGCUCACAGGACUGUAACUGACGCUGAUGCUCGAAAGUGUGGGUAUCAAAC